UCCCUGAUGGCUUAGAUGGUAAAGAAUCCACCUGCAAAGUGGGAUACCUGGGUUCAACCCCCGGGUUGGGAA
rnacentral:tRNA from 1 species